GGGGAUGUGGUCUAGUGGUAUGACGUUUCCUUAGCAUGUGAAAGCAUGGAAAAGGUUCUGGGUUCGAUUCCCAGCCUCUCCA